rnacentral:rRNA from 1 species
AGUGAACGCUGGCGGUAGGCCUAACACAUGCAAGUCGAACGGCAGCACCGUAAGAGCUUGCUCUUACGGGUGGCGAGUGGCGGACGGGUGAGGAAUACAUCGUAAUCUACUUUUUCGUGGGGGAUAACGUAGGGAAACUUACGCUAAUACCGCAUACGACCUACGGGUGAAAGCAGGGGAUCUUCGGACCUUGCGCGAUUGAAUGAGCCGAUGUGGGAUUAGCUAGUUGGCGGGGUAAAGGCCCACCAAGGCGACGAUCCGUAGCCGGUCUGAGAGGAUGAUCAGCCACACUGGAACGGAGACACGGACCAGACUCCUACGGGAGGCAGCAGUGGGGAAUAUUGGACAAUGGGCGCAAGCCUGAUCCAGCCAUACCGCGUGGGUGAAGAAGGCCUUCGGGUUGUAAAGCCCUUUUGUUGGGAAAGAAAAGCAGCAGGUUAAUACCCCGCUGUUCUGACGGUACCCAAAGAAUAAGCACCGGCUAACUUCGUG